CCGCGGUAAUACGGGCGGGGCGAGCGUUGUUCGGAUUCAUUGGGUGUAAAGGGUGCGAAGGCGGUCGUCUAAGUCGAAGGUGAAAUGUCUACGGCUCAACCGAGGCAUUGCCUCCGAUACUGGACGACUUGAGUGCGGAAGGGGAGCGUGGAAUUCCUGGUGUAGCGGUGAAAUGCGUAGAUAUCAGGAGGAACACCGGUGGCGAAGGCGACGCUCUGGUCCGCAACUGACGCUCAUGCACGAAAGCCAGGGGAGCGAACGGGAUUAGAAACCCGUGUAG
rnacentral:rRNA from 1 species